rnacentral:rRNA from 1 species
ACGUAUGGUGCAAGCGUUAUCCGGAUUUACUGGGUGUAAAGGGAGCGCAGGCGGAAGGCUAAGUCUGAUGUGAAAGCCCGGGGCUUAACCCCGGUACUGCAUUGGAAACUGGUCAUCUAGAGUGUCGGAGGGGUAAGUGGAAUUCCUAGUGUAGCGGUGAAAUGCGUAGAUAUUAGGAGGAACACCAGUGGCGAAGGCGGCUUACUGGACGAUAACUGACGCUGAGGCUCGAAAGCGUGGGGAGCAAACAG